rnacentral:rRNA from 1 species
GAUGAACGCUGGCGGCGUGCCUAAUACAUGCAAGUCGAGCGAACAGACGAGGAGCUUGCUCCUCUGACGUUAGCGGCGGACGGGUGAGUAACACGUGGAUAACCUACCUAUAAGACUGGGAUAACUUCGGGAAACCGGAGCUAAUACCGGAUAAUAUAUUGAACCGCAUGGUUCAAUAGUGAAAGACGGUUUUGCUGUCACUUAUAGAUGGAUCCGCGCCGCAUUAGCUAGUUGGUAAGGUAACGGCUUACCAAGGCAACGAUGGGUAGCCGACCUGAGAGGGUGAUCGGCCACACUGGAACUGAGACACGGUCCAGACUACUACGGGAGGCAGCAGUAGGGAAUCUUACGCAAUGGGCGAAAGCAUGACGGAGCAAAGCCGCGUGAGUGAUGAAGGUCUUCGGAUCGUAAAACUCUGUUAUUAGGGAAGAACAAAUGUGUAAGUAACUAUGCACGUCUUGACGGUACCUAAUCAGAAAGCCACGGCUAACUACGUG